UACGGAGGGUGCGAGCGUUGUCCGGAAUCAUUGGGCGUAAAGGGCGCGUAGGUGGCGGGACAAGCGUGCGGUGAAAGCCCUGGGCUCAACCUGGGAAUUGCAUUGGAUACUGGCAGGCUAGAGUGCGGUAGAGGAUGGCGGAAUUCCGGUGUAGCAGUGAAAUGCGUAGAGAUCGGGAGGAACAUCUGUGGCGAAGGCGGCCAUC
rnacentral:rRNA from 1 species